rnacentral:rRNA from 1 species
UACGUAGGGGGCUAGCGUUGUCCGGAAUCAUUGGGCGUAAAGCGCGUGUAGGCGGUUCGGUAAGUCCGCUGUGAAAGUCGAGGGCUCAACCCUCGAAAGCCGGUGGAUACUGUCGGGCUAGAGUGCGGAAGAGGCGAGUGGAAUUCCCGGUGUAGCGGUGAAAUGCGCAGAUAUCAGGAGGAACACCGAUGGCGAAGGCAGGUCUCUGGGCUGACACUGACGCUCAUGCACGAAAGCGUGGGGAGCAAACAGG